CUAGGUGCAGAAUCUACCUUGGGCUGAACCUACAGAGAACUCAGAGUAAUUUUGGGUUGAAGUGGAAGUUGGGGAUUUCUGACUCUCUUGGAGCUCUACUGUGGCGUUUGGUUUUA